GUGCCUGGGAUCGGCCUCCCUUGGGACCUGCACUGCAGAUAGCCCCUCAGACCUACGUCAGAGCUUGUCAUGCAGAACUAUAUGCAUGACAGACACUAGCAGUUCC